CACAUGUUAUGUUCUUACACCCUUACAGAAACUGUGACUCCUUCACAAUGUCAGAUUACCUUGUGGGAGUAGCUGGACCAAACUCUAUUGGUAUUUCAAGUUUGAAAUCCCUGUUUGACCAGACUAACAUUUCAGAUGAGGUAAUAGAUGGCCUAAUCUAUU